ensembl:lncRNA
AUUUAGAUAAAAAUAUUGAAUAUUUUAUUUAUUGAAUAUUUAUUUAUUGAAUACAUGCAUAUGAGAUGCGAUUGGGCCAGCAGCACCGCCUAUGCUUUGGUUGAUUGGAUAGUUUCUGACUCACAGCCAAUCAGCUUGCUUGCUUUGGAGUUCACGCAGCUUAACCUUUUCGCUAGUUCUGGAAACCUGUUGCUCUUCAGACGCGUUUCUAAUCCCGAGAAACUUCCAAAGAACUUUCGAUAGAACUAAUGAAAGGAUAAGGUGUUUGUUCUGUAAUCUGUUUUAAGACCACCUCAACUCUCAUACACACCUUGGAUCGGCAAACAUCCCACCUUGAGGAUGUAAGAAGAUAUUUUAGAGGUGUCUUCUCUUUAUCACCACCCGAUGGUGCAUCUCGAAGGAUGCUGCUUACCUGUUCUCUUUAUCACCACCCAACGGACAGAUUUGAAUCGAUGGCAGACGGGCCCUCUAAACCCACUCCAACUUCUGUCUUUCUCUCAGCCCACUUGGGAUCUGCAGUGUAAUACACCGCAGACUAAAUCCGGUGAUACUCCUGCAGUAUUUGAAGCAUGGGUGGCUGCAUAAUGAGCAGUCUGUGUGUCCUUUCCCUUUCCUGUCCCCUACCCUCCUCUUCCAAUAUGCAGGAAAUGGCGUCUGGCCUCUUGACAGAUAAUGUGACACACACGUGUGCGGACGGAAACUGGGGCUGUGAGCCACAAAGAGCCACAGUGGGUCCUGGCCCCUGAUAACAUCAGGGAAGGAGAAGAGAAGAGAGGUGUCUACGGGAAGUUGCCAGGUUUGGGAAGGCCUGGAGAAUCCCGGUUAUCUCCCAGAGGAGUCAGGAGAUGGAGUGUGGCCCUCCCCGGCAGCAGGCCAGGCGAUGGAGUGCUGGGACCUUUGUUUGUCAUCACCAUUUCCCCUUCAUCCUGUGUCAUGACCUUACAGAGUUCAUUUCAAACUGAGAAUUCAUUGACUGCUUCUCAAGCCUUCAGAAUAUGGAAGGAGUUGAUCAUUAGACAAGUAGACGUGACUGCUUCUUAUCAGCGAAUUUGAUUUGUGAAGGGAAAAAGGUGUGCUUUGGCUGUGGAAUGCAAAGUGACAACCACAAAUUAUCAUUACGACUGAGACAUAACAAAUAUUUCCUCUACAACUUCACUUUCAAACAAUGCUUUGUUUGGUGGGGUUGGGGUUGUAGAGAGCGAUUCUGGUCUAAUCUGAAUAUAUUUGAAUUUAUUUGGUUUGAUUAAAUGUUUCUUUUAAAUGUUACCAAUUGUGUUUGAGUCAAAAUCUUUGCGAAGCUGUUCAUAAUGUACAAAGGUAAUGGAAUAUUAAAUUAUGCCAUUAAUACAAAGGGUUACACUUUAUUUUAAGGUGUUAUGUUACAGUGUAAUUAUACAUUUAAGUACUGAGCUUACUGAGCUCAACUACAUGUACUUACUAUAGGGUUAGGGUUAGGAUGAGGGAUUGGUUUAGGAUUAGUUGCAUGCAAUUAUGCAUAAUUUACUCUUAUUAUAAUAGUAAGUACAUGUAACCUGUAACAAGGACACCGUAAAAUAAAGUUUCACCAUAUAAAGUCUAACA